rnacentral:rRNA from 1 species
GAUAAACGCUGGCGGCGUGCCUAAUGCAUGCAAGUCGAACGGGAGCCCCUUUGGGGGUCGACCGUGGCGGACGGGUGAGGAACACGUAGCUAACCUGCCCAGGUGUGGGGGAGUAUGCGCUGGAAACGGCGUGCAAUACCGCAUACGCUCGGGUCACGGGAGUGACUUGAGGAAAGCUCAGCAAUGGGUGUACCUGGAGGGGGCUGCGGCCGGAUUAGCUAGUUGGUGUGGUAAGAGCGCACCAAGGCGAUGAUCGGUAGCUGGUCUGAGAGGACGAUCAGCCACAC